GCCUGGGUGGCUCAGUCAGUUAAGCAUCUGACUUCAGCUCAGGUCACGAUCUUAUGGUUUGUAGGUUCGAGCCCCGCAUCAGGCU
rnacentral:tRNA from 1 species